AAAUUGAAGAGUUUGAUCAUGGCUCAGAUUGAACGCUGGCGGCAGGCCUAACACAUGCAAGUCGAGCGGUAGCACAGAGAGCUUGCUCUCGGGUGACGAGCGGCGGACGGGUGAGUAAUGUCUGGGAAACUGCCUGAUGGAGGGGGAUAACUACUGGAAACGGUAGCUAAUACCGCAUAACGUCGCAAGACCAAAGUGGGGGACCUUCGGGCCUCAUGCCAUCAGAUGUGCCCAGAUGGGAUUAGCUAGUAGGUGGGGUAACGGCUCACCUAGGCGACGAUCCCUAGCUGGUCUGAGAGGAUGACCAGCCACACUGGAACUGAGACACGGUCCAGACUCCUACGGGAGGCAGCAGUGGGGAAUAUUGCACAAUGGGCGCAAGCCUGAUGCAGCCAUGCCGCGUGUGUGAAGAAGGCCUUCGGGUUGUAAAGCACUUUCAGCGGGGAGGAAGGCGAUAAGGUUAAUAACCUUGUCGAUUGACGUUACCCGCAGAAGAAGCACCGGCUAACUCCGUGCCAGCAGCCGCGGUAAUACGGAGGGUGCAAGCGUUAAUCGGAAUUACUGGGCGUAAAGCGCACGCAGGCGGUCUGUCAAGUCGGAUGUGAAAUCCCCGGGCUCAACCUGGGAACUGCAUUCGAAACUGGCAGGCUAGAGUCUUGUAGAGGGGGGUAGAAUUCCAGGUGUAGCGGUGAAAUGCGUAGAGAUCUGGAGGAAUACCGGUGGCGAAGGCGGCCCCCUGGACAAAGACUGACGCUCAGGUGCGAAAGCGUGGGGAGCAAACAGGAUUAGAUACCCUGGUAGUCCACGCCGUAAACGAUGUCGAUUUGGAGGUUGUGCCCUUGAGGCGUGGCUUCCGGAGCUAACGCGUUAAAUCGACCGCCUGGGGAGUACGGCCGCAAGGUUAAAACUCAAAUGAAUUGACGGGGGCCCGCACAAGCGGUGGAGCAUGUGGUUUAAUUCGAUGCAACGCGAAGAACCUUACCUGGUCUUGACAUCCACAGAACUUAGCAGAGAUGCUUUGGUGCCUUCGGGAACUGUGAGACAGGUGCUGCAUGGCUGUCGUCAGCUCGUGUUGUGAAAUGUUGGGUUAAGUCCCGCAACGAGCGCAACCCUUAUCCUUUGUUGCCAGCGGUCCGGCCGGGAACUCAAAGGAGACUGCCAGUGAUAAACUGGAGGAAGGUGGGGAUGACGUCAAGUCAUCAUGGCCCUUACGACCAGGGCUACACACGUGCUACAAUGGCAUAUACAAAGAGAAGCGACCUCGCGAGAGCAAGCGGACCUCAUAAAGUAUGUCGUAGUCCGGAUUGGAGUCUGCAACUCGACUCCAUGAAGUCGGAAUCGCUAGUAAUCGUAGAUCAGAAUGCUACGGUGAAUACGUUCCCGGGCCUUGUACACACCGCCCGUCACACCAUGGGAGUGGGUUGCAAAAGAAGUAGGUAGCUUAACCUUCGGGAGGGCGCUUACCACUUUGUGAUUCAUGACUGGGGUGAAGUCGUAACAAGGUAACCGUAGGGGAACCUGCGGUUGGAUCACCUCCUUACCUUAAAGAA
rnacentral:rRNA from 2 species